GUCCCUGUAGCAUAAUGGAUAGUGCGUUGGACUUCUAAUCCAAAGUGCGUGGGUUCGAAUCCCUCCUGAGAUG